AAACCAACUGGGAUUACCUUAGUAACGGCGAGUGAAGCGGUAAAAGCUCAAAUUUGAAAUCUGGUACUUUCAGUGCCCGAGUUGUAAUUUGUAGAAUUUGUCUUUGAUUAGGUCCUUGUCUAUGUUCCUUGGAACAGGACGUCAUAGAGGGUGAGAAUCCCGUUUGGCGAGGAUACCUUUUCUUUGUAAGACUUUUUCGAAGAGUCGAGUUGUUUGGGAAUGCAGCUCAAAGUGGGUGGUAAAUUCCAUCUAAAGCUAAAUAUUGGCGAGAGACCGAUAGCGAACAAGUACAGUGAUGGAAAGAUGAAAAGAACUUUGAAAAGAGAGUGAAAAAGUACGUGAAAUUGUUGAAAGGGAGGGCAUUUGAUCAGACAUGGUGUUUUUGCAUGCACUCGCCUCUCGUGGGCUUGGGCCUCUCAAAAAUUUCACUGGGCCAACAUCAAUUUUGGCAGCAGGAUAAAUCAUUAAGAAUGUAGCUACUUCGGUAGUGUUAUAGCUUUUUGGAAUACUGUUAGCCGGGAUUGAGGUA
rnacentral:rRNA from 1 species